rnacentral:rRNA from 1 species
CACUUAACAGAUUAAGCAUUCCGCCUGGGGAGUACGGUCGCAAGAUUAAAACUCAAAGGAAUAGACGGGGACCCGCACAAGUGGUGGAGCAUGUGGUUUAAUUCGAAGAUACACGAAGAACCUUACCUGGCCUUGACAUGGUAGGAACCCUUAAGAGAUUAGGGGGUGCUAGCUUGCUAGAGCCUACACACAGGUGCUGCACGGCUGUCGUCAGCUCGUGUCGUGAGAUGUUGGGUUAAGUCCCGCAACGAGCGCAACCCUCGUCCUUAGUUGCUAACAGUUUGGCUGAGCACUCUAAGGAGACUGCCUUCGUAAGGAGGAGGAAGGUGAGGACGACGUCAAGUCAUCAUGGCCCUUACGGCCAGGGCUACACACGUGCUACAAUGGGGCGUACAGAGAGCUGCAAUACCGCGAGGUGGAGCCAAUCUCUUAAAGCGUCCCUCAGUUCGGAUUGUUCUCUGCAACUCGAGAACAUGAAGCUGGAAUCACUAGUAAUCGUAGAUCAGCUAUGCUACGGUGAAUACGUUCCCGGGUCUUGUACUCACCGCCCGUCACACCAUGGGAGUUGAUUUCACCCGAAAUCGGGAUGCCAAACUGGCUACCGCUUACGGUGGAAUUAG